CUAAUUUCCAAUCCAAACGAAAACCAAUCCUAUGAAUGAAUCCUACGACCGAAGACCCACACCAAAGUUUUCUUCUAGUUUCUAUCCUUCUUCAUUUCAUAACCAUCACAUUCAUCACUCUCCUCUUUCUUUCAUUUCUUUCACACCCUUCUUUUGUUUUCUUCUGUUUUUAAUUUUUUUCCCCUGUUCUUCUGUUUCUCUCUUCUCUUUAGGGUUUCAAAGUCUACCAUUCCUUCUUCCCUUCCAAUUACCAUACCAAUUUAAACCCUCCUUUCAUUCGAUUUCCUCACCUCGAUUCCCAGUUUUCUCGCUCUAGAUUUCUGAUGCCGCAGCAAUUUCAAUCUGAUUGCCGUCUGCGAGGGCUGGAAUCGGUUGUGGACAGCUUAGAAUCACUUUUUUUUUUCUUAUUCUUUUUCAUUUUUUGACGAAAGAGGAGGUGCAGUUGUGGGAGUGUUUCGUGGUUCAGUAGUGAGUGGCUUCUGAAGAUUAUGAUUAUGAUUUAGAAGUAACCCUAGGUAUCUGUGUAGGUUCAUGGUAUUUGGUGAUUGAUUUGGGAGUGUGAUUUUGAUUCCCUAUAGUUUUUUUUUUUUGCUUUGGUUUUUUUGGGGGAGUGAUUACUGAUUGGAGAAGAAGGGGAUGGAGAAUGGUCACGAUGGGAAAUUGACUGAGAAAUUCUCGGGCUUGAAUAUCAACCAGCACGGUCAGCAACACGAGCAUGAUCAAUCUAACCUCUCUUCUAACAACAAUGAUAACUUGUAUCAGGUCAUGAAGGCUGUUGAAGCUGCCGAGGCCACUAUUAAGCAACAGGUAGAAGAGAAUAGCCGGCUUAGGUCUGAACUUCUGAGCAAAAUUCAGGAACUGGAAAAAUAUAGGCACGAAGAUUCAGUGGAUCAAAAAUCACAUUUGGUUGCUCAAUGGAAGGAGCAGGAGCACGGAUCUUAUGAAGCUCGUCAAUCAGCUCCAUCUAUAGCCAGAAGCAAUACAGGUGGCCAUUCUGAGAACAGUCAAAUAAAUGGAACAUUGAGAGUACAGCCAAACGACCAGUUGCCUAUGGAUAAUACUGGCUACUCUCAGUUGUCUUCACCAUCUACAAGGUCAAUCUCUCCAAGCAGGCAUCUACUAGAAGGAGUCCUUGAUUCCCGAUUUAAUUCGCCUCGGCAAGGUUUGAUGCCAGGGGCUGAAACGAAUAAUAAUAAUAAUAGCUUAUUGAAGCAGGAUCUGGCCAUUAAUAAGGUUCGGGAACAUGAAGAAGAGAUCAUCCUAUUAAGGAAACAUCUUUCUGAUUAUUCUGUAAAGGAAGCACAAAUACGCAACGAAAAAUAUGUCUUGGAAAAGCGCAUUGCAUAUAUGCGUCUGGCCUUUGAUCAGCAGCAACAGGACCUUGUAGAUGCUGCAUCAAAAGCUUUAUCAUACCGACAAGACAUAAUUGAAGAAAAUAUACGUCUUACAUAUGCAUUACAGGAUGCACAGCAAGAAAGAUCAACAUUUGUUUCAUCUUUGCUGCCUCUUCUUGCAGAAUACUCCCUGCAGCCUCCUGUUCCUGAUGCACAAUCAAUUGUUAGCAAUGUCAAGGUUUUGUUUAAACAUUUACAGGAAAAACUUCUUCUCACUGAGUCAAAGCUAAAGGAGUCACAAUAUCAAUUGACACCUUGGCGUUCAGAUACGAACCACGCUAAUGUUGCCACACAAUCACAACCUCACUCGAUUGGUGCACCUUUGGCAACUUCAAAUAAAAAUGGCCUUGAACUGGUACCUCAGCAUAUGUACUCUCAAGUAAAGCCUCAGGUCUCUGUUGAUGCUCAGGCAGGCACUGAUUGGGGUCUAUUGGGUCGCAACCAGAAUGGCUUGAGUGGUGGUGUGGCAACAAGUGUUGAUACUGAUGAUUUGGGUAGAUUUUCACCUCUUGCAAGCAGGAAUUCAUCAGCCCAUGAUGCAUCCACCCACCUGGUAGUUACUCAGGGUGAUACUCGUCCUGCUCAUUAUGGAGACGAAGUGACUAACAAACAGGUCACAUUUCGUGUCCCCGUGAGCAACAAUGAAGUUGAUGAUCCUGAUGGAGAUGGAACACAUAGUAUGAGAGAAACAUCUGCUAACUGGAGUUCUGGCAACCCUCCUUAUACAACCACUGUUGAUGAUCCCAGUUCUUCAUAUUCUCCUUAUUUACCAGCAGUUCUUGAAGAACCUUCUUCUUCAUUUUCUGAGGCUGCAGAUGAAGAUCCAUUGCCGGCUAUAGAGGGUCUCCAAAUUUCAGGAGAAGCCUUUCCUGGAAGGGAACUUAAGGCAGGCGGAUACUCCAUCAAUGGCACUACUAGUUGUAAUUUUGAGUGGAUUCGGCAUUUGGAAGACGGUUCCUUUAAUUAUAUUGAUGGGGCAAAGCAACCAAUCUAUCUUGUCAAUGCUGAUGAUGUUGGUACAUUACUUGCCAUUGAAGUCCAACCUCUGGAUAACAGGAAGCGCAAGGGAGAACCUGUGAAGGUUUUUGCCAAUGAUAAUAAAAAGAUUGCUUGUGAUCCCGAAAUGCAGAACCACAUAGAGAAGGCUUUUAAUAGUGGACAUGCUUCAUAUAGAGUUUCUCUUUCGGUAAUUCAAUACUGGAUAUCUUGAUAUAUGGGAACCAGCGACAUUGACCAUUAAGAGGGAAGGUUAUAGUAUCAAAUGCAGUGGACCAAAUGGAUUUGUAAUCACAGAAAAAUUUUCACCGUCCACCACUGUUAUGAUUCCAUAUGGACAUACUUCAGAGUUUAUUAUAAUUGGUUCCAGUGGUGCUGAACACCUUUUAAAAGCAGAAAACAACACAGAUUUCAGUGGUGCUAGAGACACUAUUGUGCUCACUUUGAGAUUAUUCAUCCGGAGGAGGCCUGGGAAAAGGAGAGUAAAGAAAAAGGGAUUAUUCUUUUAACAGUUGAGAGGGAAUGUCAGGUGCUUGGCAGAAAAUCUCUGCUGUGCGUGGAAAGUGCGGACCGAGAUGGGGAUUGGGAGUUGUUGUGUGCUACCUAAAUUUUGCUCCUUUUCAUAUUCUAUAAUAGGGCAGAAUUAGCUUGAGCUGUAAUUGUGAAUUUAUGCAAUCAUUUUUUUCUUCUUUUUCUUUUUCAAUAUUUAGCAAUUCUUUUUUAGCUCUUUUCCUUGCCAUGUAAGUCCAUUGUUGUACUGCAUGUUGCUCUUGUCAUUUUGUGCAUCUCUUUGGGUGGGCCCUUUUGCAAUGUGCAUGUAUUCACAUGCUAUGUCCGCCCACUUUCAUUAACUAAAAUGGUUCAGAGGAAAAUGAUAUAGUUGUCGUUUGAAUUUCGCGGAA